AUACGGAGGGUCCAAGCGUUAUCCGGAUUUAUUGGGUUUAAAGGGUGCGUAGGCGGACUGGUAAGUCAGCUGUGAAAGUUUGCGGCUUAACCGUAAAAUUGCAGUUGAUACUGUCAGUCUUGAGUGUGCAUGAGGUGGGCGGAAUUUGUGGUGUAGGGGUGAAAUGCUUAGAUAUCACGAGGAACUCCCAUUGCGAAGGCAGCUCACUGGGGCAUAACUGACGCUGAUGCACGAAGGUGUGGGUAUCAAACAGGAUUAGAUACCCUGGUAGUCCACACAGUAAACUAUGAAUACUCGCUGUUUGCGAUAUACAGUAAGCGGCCAAGCGAAAGCAUUAAGUAUUCCACCUGGGGAGUACGCCGGCAACGGUGAAACUCAAAGGAAUUGACGGGG
rnacentral:rRNA from 1 species